UUUAUGGAGAGUUUGAUCCUGGCUCAGGAUGAACGCUGGCGGCGUGCCUAAUACAUGCAAGUCGAGCGAACGGACGAGAAGCUUGCUUCUCUGAUGUUAGCGGCGGACGGGUGAGUAACACGUGGAUAACCUACCUAUAAGACUGGGAUAACUUCGGGAAACCGGAGCUAAUACCGGAUAAUAUUUUGAACCGCAUGGUUCAAAAGUGAAAGACGGUCUUGCUGUCACUUAUAGAUGGAUCCGCGCUGCAUUAGCUAGUUGGUAAGGUAACGGCUUACCAAGGCAACGAUGCAUAGCCGACCUGAGAGGGUGAUCGGCCACACUGGAACUGAGACACGGUCCAGACUCCUACGGGAGGCAGCAGUAGGGAAUCUUCCGCAAUGGGCGAAAGCCUGACGGAGCAACGCCGCGUGAGUGAUGAAGGUCUUCGGAUCGUAAAACUCUGUUAUUAGGGAAGAACAUAUGUGUAAGUAACUGUGCACAUCUUGACGGUACCUAAUCAGAAAGCCACGGCUAACUACGUGCCAGCAGCCGCGGUAAUACGUAGGUGGCAAGCGUUAUCCGGAAUUAUUGGGCGUAAAGCGCGCGUAGGCGGUUUUUUAAGUCUGAUGUGAAAGCCCACGGCUCAACCGUGGAGGGUCAUUGGAAACUGGAAAACUUGAGUGCAGAAGAGGAAAGUGGAAUUCCAUGUGUAGCGGUGAAAUGCGCAGAGAUAUGGAGGAACACCAGUGGCGAAGGCGACUUUCUGGUCUGUAACUGACGCUGAUGUGCGAAAGCGUGGGGAUCAAACAGGAUUAGAUACCCUGGUAGUCCACGCCGUAAACGAUGAGUGCUAAGUGUUAGGGGGUUUCCGCCCCUUAGUGCUGCAGCUAACGCAUUAAGCACUCCGCCUGGGGAGUACGACCGCAAGGUUGAAACUCAAAGGAAUUGACGGGGACCCGCACAAGCGGUGGAGCAUGUGGUUUAAUUCGAAGCAACGCGAAGAACCUUACCAAAUCUUGACAUCCUUUGACAACUCUAGAGAUAGAGCCUUCCCCUUCGGGGGACAAAGUGACAGGUGGUGCAUGGUUGUCGUCAGCUCGUGUCGUGAGAUGUUGGGUUAAGUCCCGCAACGAGCGCAACCCUUAAGCUUAGUUGCCAUCAUUAAGUUGGGCACUCUAAGUUGACUGCCGGUGACAAACCGGAGGAAGGUGGGGAUGACGUCAAAUCAUCAUGCCCCUUAUGAUUUGGGCUACACACGUGCUACAAUGGACAAUACAAAGGGCAGCGAAACCGCGAGGUCAAGCAAAUCCCAUAAAGUUGUUCUCAGUUCGGAUUGUAGUCUGCAACUCGACUACAUGAAGCUGGAAUCGCUAGUAAUCGUAGAUCAGCAUGCUACGGUGAAUACGUUCGAGGUCUUGUACACACCGCCCGUCACACCACGAGAGUUUGUAACACCCGAAGCCGGUGGAGUAACCUUUUAGGAGCUAGCCGUCGAAGGUGGGACAAAUGAUUGGGGUGAAGUCGUAACAAGGUAGCCGUAUCGGAAGGUGCGGCUGGAUCACCUCCUUU
rnacentral:rRNA from 1 species